rnacentral:rRNA from 1 species
AAUCAACGCUGGCGGCGUGCCUCAGACAUGCAAGUCGAACGAUUAAACUUUCCUUCGGGAAAGAUAUAAAGUGGCGCACGGGUGAGUAACACGUGGUUGACCUACCCCAAAGUAGGGGAUAACGUUCCGAAAGGAAUGCUAAGUACCCUAUAAGCUCCCGAUGUUCAGAAGAUUGGGAGAAAAAGUUCCGGCGCUUUGGG